AGUCCAGACUCCUACGGGAGGCAGCAGUGGGGAAUAUUGCACAAUGGGGGAAACCCUGAUGCAGCGACGCCGCGUGAGUGAAGAAGUAUUUCGGUAUGUAAAGCCCUAUCAGCAGGGAAGAAAAUGACGGUACCUGACUAAGAAGCCCCGGCUAACUACGUGCCAGCAGCCGCGGUAAUACGUAGGGGGCAAGCGUUAUCCGGAUUUACUGGGUGUAAAGGGAGCGUAGACGGCGUGCCAAGUCUGGUGUGAAAGGCCGGGGCUCAACCCCGGGACUGCAUUGGAAACUGGCAUGCUGGAGUGCCGGAGGGGCAAGCGGAAUUCCUAGUGUAGCGGUGAAAUGCGUAGAUAUUAGGAGGAACACCGGUGGCGAAGGCGGCGUGCUGGACGGUAACUGACGUUGAGGCUCGAAAGCGUGGGGAGCAAACAGGAUUAGAUACCCCAGUAGUG
rnacentral:rRNA from 1 species